UACAGAGGUCUCAACCGUUGUUCGGAUUCAUUGGGCGUAAAGGGUGCGUAGGCGGUCGUGCAAGUCGGAUGUGAAAUCUCAGGGCUCAACCCUGAAACUGCAUUCGAUACUGCGUGGCUAGAGUGCUGGAGAGGAGACUGGAAUUUACGGUGUAGCAGUGAAAUGCGUAGAUAUCGUAAGGAAGACCAGUGGCGAAGGCGAGUCUCUGGACAGCAACUGACGCUGAGGCACGAAGGCCAGGGGAGCAAACGGG
rnacentral:rRNA from 1 species